AUAGAGGUAGUCUCUUCUUCCUCUGAUCCUUGACAUAUAAAUGUUGCUUUAAAGAAGGCUUUAUGAAAAAUCAGGCCUCCCCAAAACUUAUUUGUCUUAAGUCAUUCCUAAAGUUUGUCUUUUCCUUGAAGUUUGUCAAAACUGUUGCCUCCUUUCCUACCACCUGCCUUUCAUCAAAGGUUAGGUUUCCCAGCCUCUUCUGUGUUCUUCAGGGUUUCCUCCCAUUCUCCAGCCUGGGAGCAGCCUCCCUCCGUGGCCGUGGGCCCGUUAGGCUAGGCUAACAGAGUGCUAGUGCAGAUUUGGUCUCUUCUGUCUGUGCAUUUGGACUUUUUUCAUCCGGGACUUGUCAUUUAAGUGAGUAUGGCUGAGUUGUGAAGUUCCUACCACAUUCACAUGCACCCCAUGCUUGCACACAUACACAUUUACUACAAGUGUGUGUGUAGUAUUUACCUGGGGUGGAUGGUUUCCCUGCCAGUAGUCAGCACAGCUUGGCAAAAGCUCUUCACAAGUGAAGAAUAUGAGAACUCCAUCUGGGGGGUUAACAAAAGCUCCAUUUCUCAAGGAUUCAGCCA
rnacentral:lncRNA from 1 species